UGAUUACCCUGAACGGUGGAUCACUUGGCUCGUGGAUCGAUGAAGAACGCAGCUAAUUGCGCGUCAACUUGUGAACUGCAGGACACAUGAACAUCGACAUUUCGAACGCACAUUGCGGUCCACGGAUCUCGUUCCCGGACCACGCCUGGCUGAGGGUCGUUUAUAAA
rnacentral:rRNA from 1 species